GAUGAACGCUAGCGGCAGGCCUAAUACAUGCAAGUCGAACGAGAUUGAGGAGCUUGCUCCUCAUGAAAGUGGCGCACGGGUGCGUAACGCGUAUGCAAUCUACCUUAAUCAGGGGGAUAGCCCGGAGAAAUCCGGAUUAAUACCGCAUAACGUUAUUUUAUGGCAUCAUAGAAUAACCAAACAUUUAUGGGAUUAAGAUGAGCAUGCGUGACAUUAGUUAGUUGGUGAGGUAACGGCUCACCAAGACUACGAUGUCUAGGGGAUCUGAGAGGAUGACCCCCCACACUGGUACUGAGACACGGACCAGACUCCUACGGGAGGCAGCAGUAAGGAAUAUUGGUCAAUGGGCGCAAGCCUGAACCAGCCAUGCCGCGUGCAGGAAGACGGCCCUAUGGGUUGUAAACUGCUUUUAUUCGGGAAUAAACCUCUUUACGUGUAAGGAGCUAAAAUGUACCGAAGGAAUAAGGAUCGGCUAACUCCGUGCCAGCAGCC
rnacentral:rRNA from 1 species